AUAGCCUUUCGAAAGAAAGAUUAAUACCCGAUAGCAUAAUGAUUCCGCAUGGUUUCAUUAUUAAAGGAUUCCGGUAAAGGAUGGGGAUGCGUUCCAUUAGGUUGUUGGUGAGGUAACGGCUCACCAAGCCUUCGAUGGAUAGGGGUUCUGAGAGGAAGGUCCCCCACAUUGGAACUGAGACACGGUCCAAACUCCUACGGGAGGCAGCAUG
rnacentral:rRNA from 1 species